CGAGGAGGGGUGGCCCGGCAGCCGGAAAGAAAACUCCUGGACUUUUUAUUGAAUCCAUAAAACAAAAGGUUGCUGAGGAUAACCUGAACCUGGAGACACAGUGGAACUGAGAGGUUUGCUCCCUCCUGGUGCCAUGAUUGAGACCGACUCCCUAUAUGCAACUACUUACAGGACUAAUGUCACCUAAGGAAUUCACAGAGCUGGCCCUGAGUUUCAAAGAACAGAUAGAAAAAAAAUAAGUGUGCAUCUAAGAGGGAUCAGAGGGCACAGAGGGAGAGGAACCCACCAAACAGCUAGAAUGUCAGCCUGAGCAGAAGUAACAAGGACCUUCAAACACAGUAGAAAAGGAAAACAAAGACUUCCUGGAACUAAACAUAUUUUUAAUGAAACUCCUAACUGGAUGAAUUAAAUCAGGAGAUGGACUUGACAGAUCAAAUGCAAGAGCAUCCUAUACCCAGAACAAAAAUACAAAGAGAUGGAAAUCAUGAGGGCAAAAUCAGAAACCUGAAGGCUGGACCCAGGAGACCUAAGAUGUCAGUAAUAGGAAUUCUGGGAGGAGGAGAAAAAUAAACACAUGAAGGAGAGGGAAUAAUUAGACAAAUGACAUAUGAUUACUUCCCCGAGUGAAGAAGACUCGGGUCUGAGUCUUUGGUUUAAAAAGAACUCAUGGGGUCACUAGGACUGAAAGCCACACACCUAAGCCCAUCCAGAUAAAAUUCUUGAACAGCAGGUGUAAAGAGAACCUCUUGCCCCCUUCACUACAAAGAGGAAAACAUUAAUUACAAAAGAAAAGAAAAGAAAAGAGGUGGGUGUCAUGUUUCUCACUUACCAUAAUGGGAACUUGAAGACAUCUACAAAACACUGGAGCAAGCCAAAAUACUUCUUGCUGGUCAGGGUAAAAAAAAAAAAAAAGAAAAGAAAAAUCACCCAGAUAUCCAGGCAAUGGUCUGAGAAAAAUACUCUAGAAAGAACCGUAAGCAAAUGAAAAAAUGAACUGAAGCAGAUAACUCAAGACAAGAGAAGGUGAAGAAGAGAGAAUCUGGUGGUGGGCAAUUGGGCCUCACAAUCUCUCUGUCUCUUUGUCUCUGUCUUUUCCUCUCUUUCUGAGGCAGUUGCAACAGAGGCCUCUGCUCAACCCAAGGGGAAAUUUGGAGCUGAGGUUGUUCUGAGUUGAGAUGGAUCUGGCUUUUUCACCCUAGUAGUUGCAUAGAGGGUGCCCCCGGGAAGGGAGCAGACCUGGGGUUUGGCAGCUUCUUUCAGCUUCAGGCAAUUCCUGGAGAGAGAGAGACUUAGCUGUGAGCUGUCAGCAGCCAACACUCCUUCAGCUGGGGGCUGGGAUGGGCGUAGCCCCCAGCAUCCCUCACAAUGCAUGCAUGGUGCCAUUUAUGUAAAAUGAUGUGUAUCAAUACAUACUUAGGCUGGGGAAUGUUCAAUAAUCAGCUCUUGGGGAGAUGGGGGCUGGUGUGUGUGUGUAGGGGUUUUCCGAUUUGUAGCCUCUGUUGAUUCUUGUGGUAUAAAUACUCCUAUCAUGGCUGAUCUCAAACUACCAAUGUGAUGGGACUGCAGAGGGACCUGGGACCAGACCCAGCAGUUGCUCAGGAGGUUCAGGGAAGGGGAGGGGAGGACAGAAGGAGCAGCAGUCACAGCAUCUUAUAUGGUGGGAGUGCUCUGAUACUGGGAGUUUUUCUCUGUUUGCCUCAUUUUUUCUAUUUGGUCACCUUUCUAACCCUUGUCCCUACAGUCCACUUCGGUAGGUUGGUAUUCUUUGCAGGCAGUAUUCUAGAAGAAAUCUCAAGCCCUUGUUCUCACCAAGGCCCACGUGACCAUCAAAACUCAAGGCUGCUUCUUGGUGGGCGGUGCUGGGGAUGGAAUUGAGACGGUGUGGAGGGGUUGGCAGACCUCCUCUGAAAGGGGCCCGUGGUACAUAUUUUUGGCUUUGUGGGACCUAUGGUCUCUGUUGCAACAACGAAUCCCCCGCAGGACAUAGUCUGCUGACUCUUGCUGUACAUGAUACCAUUGUGUCAUAAACCUCACUGAAGUGUUAAUUAUGGCUAUUUCAAAGGCCCCAGAGGAAAGAGCCCCUUCACUCUAAACCAACCAACGAGUUCAGACCAACCAACGCAGAGGAGGGAUUUAGGCCUUGGGGGAGGUUUUGUGGUUUAGCCGCCUUCUCCAGGAAUGUGUUUUAACUUCUGUUCUCCAGGGUUAAAUAAAAUGAGGAAAAGAGAAUGCCUGGGUUAAAAAACAAAAAAUAAACUGACAAAAAAAUCCCAAACCCCUCAAAAACCAAAAACCCAAUUCUACUCACAAACUCUUUAUUUAUUAGGAUCCUGUUAAUUUUGGAUUUGGAAAAAUAGACCUGGGGAGGAGGCAGGUCCUCCCCACAGCACUAGCUCUGAAGGAAGGUACCAUAGACAGAUCAACAGAGUAAACCAAGCCUGGCAGCCAGAGCCUUCAUAGGGCUAAGACAUCUUCCUCAGCUUUCUAGGAUUAUUUGAAUGUUAAUAUGAAAUCUAUGUCUAUUUAUAAAAGUGAAUCAUGUAGGACCUUUUUUUGGGCAACACUUGAUGAAUACCUCUAGCAUGUUGGUGUAGAUACUAAGCUACGGUUUUCCAAAUAUAUUUGGGGCAAGUCUCUUUUCCCCAGGCUUCAAGUUUUCCAUCUUUGAGUAUUUACAAUGUCUUGGACAGCCUUGUGAAUUUUUGUGACUGUAUUAAUGCGGAUUCUUAAAUUUCACCCAAACAAUUAAGCCCCUCUACUCAAAAGAACUGCCUUUGACUCCUGACCUGUCCUUGCCUUGUAACUCCAUGAGGUGGACAGCAUGACAGGUGAGUUCUAUUUUGGCUUUUGGUUUGUCUUAGAAUGUGUGUUUGUGUGUGUGUGUGUGUGUGUGUGUGUGUCUAUAGUUUGGUGGUUGAAAAAGUUCUUCUGUAGUAGAAAGUCCUUGCCUUAUCAUUACUUUGCUGAUUUUCCCCUGGUGACCAGGAAGCUCAGAGCUGAAUUUAGGGUCCAUAGAAUCCCACCCUGGUUCUGUUGCAAUGAUCUUUCGGUAAUUCUCAGUCUUUUUGGGUUCACAGAUCUCUAUGGGAAUUUGAUGGAAGCAAAGAGGAAUCCCUCAGGAAGCGUUCCUAUCUGCCCACAAAACAUAGGCAGAGAGUGGAUUCUGAUCAUUCCCUUUGGAACUCUUCACCUACCAUAUUUUACAUUUUAUUUGUGUUACUUUCUGGUGCCCCCAGUGCUGACGCACCCAGGACUUCAAGGAACAGAGGAGGUGCUGACAAGCGUUGGAAGGGUUUCUUUGUUCUCAUGCAAAGGGGGGAGAGGUAGUCAACGCUUUCUACCUCAAGAGUAUUUCUCCAGGAACGUUAUCACAACUUAGUCCUGUAGUACACGGGGAAAGCACCGGACUAAAUUAAAGCCCUGGUUUUAUCACUAGCUAGUUCUGAACUUAAACAGAUCCUUUCACUUCAGUGAGCCUCCAUUUCCUUAACUGUAAACUGAGAGCCCUACCCAGGCCAGUGGGAGAUUAAGGGAAAGACUCUCUGUUGGAAGAGCUGGCUACUCUGUAAAGUGUGGUGCAGAUGACUGGUUCCUUGGGAUCCUCCCUAACCGGCACUCAGUUAAACCAGGACCAAGGGGUGGGACACGCAGAGGCCAUCACCUUGCCUUGUACAGUGAUGGCCACUGACUGAUGACCCAGCAGUCCUGGGCCUCCAUUUGUUCCUUCCCGAUCCAGGAAAAAGAUGAACAUUUAAGGAGGCUCUAACAUGACUGAAAUGAGCAGGUGGAAACUGACAGACCAGUGAGGGGCCUGGGCCCUGUCUCUGGGAUGCCCAGGAGAAAUGCCAGUCUCUCCCACAGAUCACCCCUCCCCCUCGUCCACACUUGCACAGUUACACCUCCUUGCAGCUCCAAUGCAAGAACCAGCCCUACCACAGCCCCUUCCCUGACUGUGUUCUUUUUUCUUCUGCAGGCCACGGGAUUCUUGCCCAUAGGAUUCCAGUAGCAUUUACUGCUUGUUCUGUUUAUCUGUUACUAAAGCUAAAUUCAGUAGCCUUCUGAGUACUUACCACGUAGAAGGCUUUGCUCUGAUCCGAAUCCUAUAUUGCUUGAUUCAUCAUUUUCAGAUUGUUCAUCUCUAUGUGUGUUGUACCCCUUACGGAAUGGGAUCACUUGUGAUACAUGCAUCCUCCAACCAUCCAGCACAUUGGAGUUGACAGCUAAAUGUCCAUGCUUAAGUCAACUCCCCCUGGCUACAGCUCUGGUAUAACAUAGUGAUUUACAGACCCACCAAACCAGAGGAUGCCGCUGGCAGAAAGAUGAGCCUGGUCUGGUGUUAAUGCAAGAAGAUCCCUGUGGUACAGACGCAAGAUGUUGGACCGUCUGAUAUUUGGUGAAAUCAGAAGAGUGCAAAGGAAAAAAGCUAUGGCUGCCUGCAGGAGCCACUUCUGGGAGCCAGGAGGUUGCCAUAGAAACGUCAUGGGGCAGAGGAGAGACAAGGGGCCUGGAGAGACUGGCCCUGUGACACUUGCCAUCCCCUGACUUUCAGUGGCACUUGGUGAGGCCCUAAACACAUUUUGAUUUGAACCAGGGUUAUUUGUUUACUUAGGUUAAUGUACGUAAAGCGCCAACAAAGUGUCUGGUACUUAAAUAGCACAAAACAAAUACUAAUCCCCUCAUGUCUUAUUAGACCAUGAGUUCUUGGGAGGCAUUUGUGCUGUUCAGUGCAGUGUACAAGAACAUGGGGCUUGGAUCCAGAUAAACGUGUUUAGGGUGUUGAGUUUGCCUCUUAUUAGCAGUAUGACCUUGGGAAACUUGCCUCGUAAGGAUAGUAAUGGUUCCCAUCUCUUUGGGUGAAAGGAUUAAGUAAAACCAUCCCUAUAAUAAAGGCUAAUGUUUAUCAAGGGCUUACUACAUUCAGAGCACUGUUUUAAGUGCUUUAGGUAGGACCAUCUUAUUUAAUUCACAUAAAUCUGUGUGCUAGGUGCUAGCAUCCCCAUUUUGCAGAUAAGAAAACUGAGGCACAGAGAAGUUGAGUAACGUGUCCAGGGUCACAAAGCUAUUACAUAGGUGAACUGGGAUUUGAACUGAGGAAGUUAGUACGCUGGUAUUUUUACAUCCCACUUUGCACGGCACCUUGCCAUGGCCAUCCCCUCAUUGCCUGUUUUUGCGACUGCACGUCUGGGAAAUACUCGCUGAAUAACAUCUACAGGAGUGUCUUUCCAGGUUGCUAGUUAGAAGAGCACUAAAUGUAUUCCUGUUGUGAAUAAGAAAAUGUGCUCAUUUAGAAAAGAGACACAUCAUAUGAACCUGAUGUUCAGUCCUUUCAAAUAGUAGCUUUAAAACUCACGUUUGAAUAACCUCAUGGAAGAAAGGUUGGUCUGGUGAACAUUUGUGCUGUUGCCUAUUCCAAUCAGCUGUUGAGUUGGGCUUCUGCCAGAUUAAUGACUCUUCUCCCAUAUGCAAGAGGGCGAAGCAUGAGAGCGUUACCAGGAGCUGAGGCCUGAACGGGCUUGCAGGGCCGGGCUCCCAGCCGAGUCACACCCAAGUGGUGGGGACUUGCCAGCUUUGGGGCUAAGCUAUUGCCCCAGAGAGGCUGAGCAGGGCGGGCAGCUCUUUGCUUGCUGAUUCUCUGGUCUCCCAGGGCAACAGCCUAGAGCCGACUGUGGUCACCCGUGAGAAUGCUCCUCCUGACUCAGCGGGGCCUGCAGUGCCCCAGGGUGUGGCUGUGUGUUCCUUUGGGCCCCUCACAGAUAGCAUUUAUUUCAAAGGAUAUCACUGCGCCAUUGUGGGUUGAGGGCUAGAGCUGCAGGA